UUCCAUAAUGGUGAAAACUCUCCCUUUUCCAUUUUUUCUCAAAUAGGAAGGUGAAAUACCAUGAAUGUUGAUGCUCUUAACAACAUUUUAUGAACCCCAAAAAGGCAUAAACCGUUAAACGGAUCCACUCUUCCGGUCUUUCCAACUCCAAAACCCCAUUCUUAUUCAUUAUUCCCAAGAUUCUCUCAUCUACGGCAUUUCUCUCGCAGGUAAUUAAAUCAAAAUCGAUGAUGUGAAAAACAGCCGGGCGGACUGAACUUGCGUAGCUCAUUCUCUUGAUAUGCCGUGUUCAUGAUUGUCUGCGUAGCUCGUCCGCUAAAUUUUUAAAUCUAAAUUGAUGGACCUUGGAAGCUUAAGUUCUAAAGAUCCCCACCUGAAAGUGAUUCAAUGGGAAGAUUUUGAACAAGAACUUGCUACGCUAUCUAGUCUUUCUUCGGCCCUCCAACAAGCUCAACUCCAGAAACUCGCUAUCCAACGUCAGCUUCAAACACUAAUUCAGGUACAAUCUGACUCUUUGAGCAGGAAGAAUGAACUUGAUGAGAUUUCUGAAAGAGUGGAAGAUAAGAAGCUGGUUAUGGGAAACAUGUUAAUGCAAGCAAAGGUGGUAGAAGAACAUGCUAAAACAAAAGAGGAGCACUUAGGCACUGAAAUCAAGUCUCUACUUAUUUCAGGGACAUCUCUAUCUGUUGCGCGGAAAAGAAUUUGGGAAUCCUGUAGGUUACUUGCUGGAGAUAAGGGUCUUGCUCAACUAAGUGGUCUCCAGAAGAUGCUUAGUGUGAGACAACAGCACAUGGUUUCUCAAGUUGCGUAUCUUUAUCCCGUAAAGACCUUGAUUGGUGCAACUCAGGAGCUUGAACUAGAUUCAUUUCCGAGUGGGAGCAGACCAGGGACUCCUGGUGAUACUCUAGAUGAGAACAAAUCAAGGAACCAAGGAACAUUAUCUAUCUCAAGCGUGGAGUUGAAUAUGCUUCCUUUUACGCAAAUUACUUUCUUCACUGAUAAGAAGCAGAUUCAGAGGUCGACAACUGCUUUGGGAUAUGUUGCCCAUGUUAUCUCACUCACAGCUUCAUACCUACAUGUCCCUUUGCGUUAUCCUUUGCGUUUGGGUGGUUCUCAUUCAUAUAUUAAAGAUUGUGCACCGUAUAUUGAUCAAGUAUCAUCAGUACCCUCCUCAACUGCCCUUGCCUCUGCAACUAAGAAGUGUUUGGAAUUUCCACUAUUUUUAGACGGGAAAGAUGCAACCAGAGCAGCAUAUGCUAUCUUUUUAUUAAACAAGGUACUACCUGUUUUCCUGAUAGCUCUUCCUUUGAAAGAAGAUCACCAGUGCACUGCUGUUUAUAGGCGUGUUUGUAAUCUUGUUUUGUCAUCCCAUCCUCAGAUUCUUGUCACUGGUACCAGACUCGUGAAUCUUUUUGCUCAAGUGGCAUUGUCACCCCAUGGAGACUAGUGAAGUUGAAACCUAAUCAGUAGGUCUUUUUCACAUCUCAAAUCUAUAUGACCAUAAAGUGCAUACAAAAAACUGAUUCCUACCGCGUCAUUGAGCUGGGUUUCUUCAUAGAUUCUGAAAAUGCCGACAAAAGAGAAGAAAGUUUGUCUAGGCCUAUAGUUACUGAAAGUAAUGAUAUAUGAUCUUUCACUCAGCUGCCUACCAGUGUUACUGAUAUGCAGGUUAGGGUCGAUGUUCACUCAAUGUCUGCCUUUGUGUUUGACUUUGAGUUUUUGUGUACAGGUUCUGGGUCCUUUGGGGGGAUCCGGGUAUUGUAUUGGACCACGGUUACCUGGUUCGCUAGUAUGAGAUUGGGUACGGGUUCACAAUUUGCUACCUAAUUUGCUAAAUUAGACCAAAAUUAUACUAUUUUGAUGUUAUAAUUCGCUUUUUCGGUUCGCGGUUGUGGGCUGAUUGGAGGAUUAGGUAACACUGUGUUGGACAAUCAAACACCUCGCAACACUCUCCUUAAAAUUUUUGCUUGUUUAUCAGUUUAUGUGUAAGCUUUUGGAUUUGAUAGUGUGAUAUAUAGAAAGAAGGAUUGAAGGA